CGAACGAUGAUCUCCAGCUUGCUGGGGGGAUUAGUGGCGAACGGGUGAGUAACACGUGAGUAACCUGCCCUUGACUCUGGGAUAAGCCUGGGAAACCGGGUCUAAUACUGGAUACGACCUUCUGGCGCAUGCCAUGUUGGUGGAAAGCUUUUGUGGUUUUGGAUGGACUCGCGGCCUAUCAGCUUGUUGGUGGGGUAAUGGCCUACCAAGGCGACGACGGGUAGCCGGCCUGAGAGGGUGACCGGCCACACUGGGACUGAGACACGGCCCAGACUCCUACGGGAGGCAGCAGUGGGGAAUAUUGCACAAUGGGCGCAAGCCUGAUGCAGCGACGCCGCGUGAGGGAUGAAGGCCUUCGGGUUGUAAACCUCUUUCAGUAGGGAAGAAGCCGCUCCUUUUUGGGGGUGGUGACGGUACCUGCAGAAGAAGCGCCGGCUAACUACGUGCCAGCAGCCGCGGUAAUACGUAGGGCGCAAGCGUUAUCCGGAAUUAUUGGGCGUAAAGAGCUCGUAGGCGGUUUGUCGCGUCUGCCGUGAAAGUCCGGGGCUUAACUCCGGAUCUGCGGUGGGUACGGGCAGACUAGAGUGCAGUAGGGGAGACUGGAAUUCCUGGUGUAGCGGUGAAAUGCGCAGAUAUCAGGAGGAACACCGAUGGCGAAGGCAGGUCUCUGGGCUGUAACUGACGCUGAGGAGCGAAAGCAUGGGGAGCG
rnacentral:rRNA from 1 species